CCCUCCAGACCCUGUUACUAGACAACCUUCCACAUGUAGACUAGACAUGUAGGUUAGAGAUACCUAGACCCUCAUGUAGACCGUGCUUACACUCUUAUAUUGUCUAGUUUAGAAAGGGCAAGCAAUUCUGUGGUUAGUUAUGCUGUAUAUUUAAUGUUUUCUGUUCUUUGAGUACACUAUAAUUUCGCUAUUUUGGUAGCAAAAAAAAAACAAACACUUAGAAUA